GGACCAGACUCCUACGGGAGGCAGCAGUGAGGAAUAUUGGUCAAUGGCCGAGAGGCUGAACCAGCCAAGUCGCGUGAGGGAAGACGGCCCUACGGGUUGUAAACCUCUUUUGUCGGGGAGCAAAAGCCGGACGUGUCCGGCUGUGAGAGUACCCGAAGAAAAAGCAUCGGCUAACUCCGUGCCAGCAGCCGCGGUAAUACGGAGGAUGCGAGCGUUAUCCGGAUUUAUUGGGUUUAAAGGGUGCGCAGGCGGAAUGUCAAGUCAGCGGUAAAAUUUCGGGGCUCAACCCCGUCGUGCCGUUGAAACUGGCGUUCUUGAGUGGGCGAGAAGUAUGCGGAAUGCGUGGUGUAGCGGUGAAAUGCAUAGAUAUCACGCAGAACUCCGAUUGCGAAGGCAGCAUACCGGCGCUCAACUGACGCUCAUGCACGAAAGCGUGGGUAUCGAACAGGAUUAGAUACCCGAGUA
rnacentral:rRNA from 1 species